rnacentral:lncRNA from 1 species
CGUGAACCUAGGAGGCAGAGCUUGCAGUGAGCUGAGAUCGUGACACUGCACUCCAGCCUGGGCGACAGAGGGAGACUCUGUCUGAAAGAAAAAAAAAAGAAAUAUAAGUACGGUAAAGGGAAAAACAACAACUUGCUCGAGAUAAGCCCUGUUUACUUGGGGGCCUCGCUUUUCCAUGUGUGUUUGCCCAGCUCAUCCUGAGGCUGCCCACACGGCUGUGGGUCCUGCUUUAUCACCCAGCAGCAGAUGCCUCUGCGGCUUUGUGGCCAAACCCUGGCCCUGCACAGCCUCCUUGUGGCCUGAGCUUAUUGCAGGCUGCACGGUGCACAUUACAAAUGGUCAGUUGGAGCCACCACGCUUGGCCAUUUUCCUGCUUGCUUUCAUUUUUUUUUGAGACAGUGUCUUGCUCUGUCCCCCAGGCUGGAGUGCAGUGGUGUGAUCACAGCUCACUGCAGCCUUGACCUCCUGGGCUCAAGUGAUCCUCUUGGUUCAGCCUCCCAAGUAGCUGGGAUCACAGAUGCCCACCCAAUCCCAGCUAAUUAAAAUUUUUUUAAUUUUUUAAAAUUUCUAGAAGUUUUUAAAAUUCUCAACAAAGUGAGAACCUAGAGAUAGGGUCUUGCUAUGUUGGCCAGGCUGGUCUGCAACUCCUGGGCUCAAGCGAUCUUCUUGCUUCAGCCUCCCAAAGUGCUGGGAUUACAGGCGUGAGCCACUGUGCGCGGCCCCAAUCCUUCUUUAUUUUUACCUGUUUACAUUUUAUUUUAUUUAACUCAUUAUUAUAAUUCUUUUAGAGACAAGGUCUCCCUCUGUCACCCAGGCUGCAGUGCAGUUGAGAGACCAUAGUUCACUGCAGCCUUGACCUUCCUGGCUCAGGGGAUCCUCCUGCCUCAGCCGCUGGAGUAGCUGGAACUACAGGUGUGC